rnacentral:rRNA from 5 species
CCCCGGUAAACGGCGGCCGUAACUAUAACGGUCCUAAGGUAGCGAAAUUCCUUGUCGGGUAAGUUCCGACCUGCACGAAUGGCGUAAUGAUGGCCAGGCUGUCUCCACCCGAGACUCAGUGAAAUUGAACUCGCUGUGAAGAUGCAGUGUACCCGCGGCAAGACGGAAAGACCCCGUGAACCUUUACUAUAGCUUGACACUGAACAUUGAGCCUUGAUGUGUAGGAUAGGUGGGAGGCUUUGAAGUGUGGACGCCAGUCUGCAUGGAGCCGACCUUGAAAUACCACCCUUUAAUGUUUGAUGUUCUAACGUGGACCCGUAAUCCGGGUUGCGGACAGUGUCUGGUGGGUAGUUUGACUGGGGCGGUCUCCUCCUAAAGAGUAACGGAGGAGCACGAAGGUUGGCUAAUCCUGGUCGGACAUCAGGAGGUUAGUGCAAUGGCAUAAGCCAGCUUGACUGCGAGCGUGACGGCGCGAGCAGGUGCGAAAGCAGGUCAUAGUGAUCCGGUGGUUCUGAAUGGAAGGGCCAUCGCUCAACGGAUAAAAGGUACUCCGGGGAUAACAGGCUGAUACCGCCCAAGAGUUCAUAUCGACGGCGGUGUUUGGCACCUCGAUGUCGGCUCAUCACAUCCUGGGGCUGAAGUAGGUCCCAAGGGUAUGGCUGUUCGCCAUUUAAAGUGGUACGCGAGCUGGGUUUAGAACGUCGUGAGACAGUUCGGUCCCUAUCUGCCGUGGGCGCUGGAGAACUGAGGGGGGCUGCUCCUAGUACGAGAGGACCGGAGUGGACGCAUCACUGGUGUUCGGGUUGUCAUGCCAAUGGCACUGCCCGGUAGCUAAAUGCGGAAGAGAUAAGUGCUGAAAGCAUCUAAGCACGAAACUUGCCCCGAGAU